UCCCGGAUAGCUCAGUCGGUAGAGCAGGGGAUUGAAAAUCCCCGUGUCCUUGGUUCGAUUCCGAGUCCGGGCACCA
rnacentral:tRNA from 1 species